CAGUCGCCACGGUAAUACAGAGGGUGCAAGCGUUAAUCGGAAUUAAUGGGCGUAAAGCGCGCGUAGGUGGUUUGUUAAGUUGGAUGUGAAAGCCCCGGGCUCAACCUGGGAACUGCAUCCAAAACUGGCAAGCUAGAGUACGGUAGAGGGUGGUGGAAUUUCCUGUGUAGCGGUGAAAUGCGUAGAUAUAGGAAGGAACACCAGUGGCGAAGGCGACCACCUGGACUGAUACUGACACUGAGGUGCGAAAGCGUGGGGAGCAAACAGGAUUAGAUACCCCAGUAGUCCCUGUCUCUUAUAC
rnacentral:rRNA from 1 species